rnacentral:snRNA from 1 species
ACACUAAACCCAAACCGGAAAAGU